rnacentral:rRNA from 1 species
UACGUAGGGGGCAAGCGUUAUCCGGAUUUACUGGGUGUAAAGGGAGCGUAGACGGCAGGGCAAGUCUGGAGUGAAAGCCCGGGGCCCAACCCCGGGACUGCUUUGGAAACUGCCAUGCUGGAGUGCUGGAGAGGUAAGCGGAAUUCCUAGUGUAGCGGUGAAAUGCGUAGAUAUUAGGAGGAACACCAGUGGCGAAGGCGGCUUACUGGACAGUAACUGACGUUGAGGCUCGAAAGCGUGGGGAGCAGACAGG